UAUUGCACAAUGGGGGGAAACCCUGAUGCAGCGACGCCGCGUGAGUGAGGAAGUAUUUCGGUAUGUAAAGCUCUAUCAGCAGGGAAGAAACUGACGGUACCUGACUACGAAGCCCCGGCUAACUACGGGACAGCAGCCGCGGUAAUACGUAGGGGGCAAGCGUUAUCCGGAUUUACUGGGUGUAAAGGGAGCGUAGACGGAAUUGCAAGUCUGAUGUGAAAAUCCGGGGCCCAACCCCGGAACUGCAUUGGAAACUGUAUUUCUAGAGUGUCGGAGAGGCAAGUGGAAUUCCUGGUGUAGCGGUGAAAUGCGUAGAUAUCAGGAGGAACACCAGUGGCGAAGGCGGCUUGCUGGACGAUGACUGACGUUGAGGCUCGAAAGCGUGGGGAGCAAACAGG
rnacentral:rRNA from 1 species